UUUAUCCUGGCUCAGAACGAACGCUGGCGGCAGGCCUAACACAUGCAAGUCGAGCGAGGACUUCGGUCCUAGCGGCGGACGGGUGAGUAACGCGUGGGAACGUGCCCUUCACUACGGAAUAGUCCCGGGAAACUGGGUUUAAUACCGUAUACGCCCUUCGGGGGAAAGAAUUUCGGUGAAGGAUCGGCCCGCGUCUGAUUAGGUAGUUGGUGGGGUAACGGCCUACCAAGCCUACGAUCAGUAGCUGGUUUGAGAGGAUGAUCAGCCACACUGGGACUGAGACACGGCCCAGACUCCUACGGGAGGCAGCAGUGGGGAAUCUUAGACAAUGGGGGCAACCCUGAUCUAGCCAUGCCGCGUGAGUGACGAAGGCCCUAGGGUCGUAAAGCUCUUUCACCAGGGAAGAUAAUGACGGUACCUGGAGAAGAAACCCCGGCUAACUCCGUGCCAGCAGCCGCGGUAAUACGGAGGGGGUUAGCGUUGUUCGGAAUUACUGGGCGUAAAGCGCGCGUAGGCGGACUGUUAAGUCAGGGGUGAAAUCCCGGGGCUCAACCCCGGAACUGCCCUUGAUACUGGCAGUCUCGAGUUCGAGAGAGGUGAGUGGAACUCCGAGUGUAGAGGUGAAAUUCGUAGAUAUUCGGAAGAACACCAGUGGCGAAGGCGGCUCACUGGCUCGAUACUGACGCUGAGGUGCGAAAGUGUGGGGAGCAAACAGGAUUAGAUACCCUGGUAGUCCACACCGUACACGAUGAAUGCCAGACGUCGGGCAGCAUGCUGUUCGGUGUCACACCUAACGGAUUA
rnacentral:rRNA from 1 species